GAUGAACGCUGGCGGCGUGCCUAAUACAUGCAAGUCGAGCGAACAGACGAGGAGCUUGCUCCUCUGACGUUAGCGGCGGACGGGUGAGUAACACGUGGAUAACCUACCUAUAAGACUGGGAUAACUUCGGGAAACCGGAGCUAAUACCGGAUAAUAUAUUGAACCGCAUGGUUCAAUAGUGAAAGACGGUUUUGCUGUCACUUAUAGAUGGAUCCGCGCCGCAUUAGCUAGUUGGUAAGGUAACGGCUUACCAAGGCAACGAUGCGUAGCCGACCUGAGAGGGUGAUCGGCCACACUGGAACUGAGACACGGUCCAGACUCCUACGGGAGGCAGCAGUAGGGAAUCUUCCGCAAUGGGCGAAAGCCUGACGUAGCAACGCCGCGUGAGUGAUGAGGGUCUUCGGAUCGUAAAACUCUGUUAUUAGGGAAGAACAAAUGUGUAAGUAACUAUGCACGUCUUGACGGUACCUAAUCAGAAAGCCACGGCUAACUACGUG
rnacentral:rRNA from 1 species